rnacentral:pre_miRNA from 1 species
UUGACUCAACUUUGUAUGGAGUUGGAACGUUUGCUUACGUUUGCCGCUAAGGGCGCUGUUUCAACUGCGUACAGAUUUGAGUUA